GUCGAACGAACUCUGGUAUUGAUUGGUGCUUGCAUCAUGAUUUACAUUUGAGUGAGUGGCGAACUGGUGAGUAACACGUGGGAAACCUGCCCAGAAGCGGGGGAUAACAACUGGAAACAGAUGCUAAUACCGCAUAACAACUUGGACCGCAUGGUCCGAGUUUGAAAGAUGGCUUCGGCUAUCACUUUUGGAUGGUCCCGCGGCGUAUUAGCUAGAUGGUGGGGUAACGGCUCACCAUGGCAAUGAUACGUAGCCGACCUGAGAGGGUAAUCGGCCACAUUGGGACUGAGACACGGCCCAAACUCCUACGGGAGGCAGCAGUAGGGAAUCUUCCACAAUGGACGAAAGUCUGAUGGAGCAACGCCGCGUGAGUGAAGAAGGGUUUCGGCUCGUAAAACUCUGUUGUUAAAGAAGAACAUAUCUGAGAGUAACUGUUCAGGUAUUGACGGUAUUUAACCAGAAAGCCACGGCUAACUACGUGCCAGCAGCCGCGGUAAUACGUAGGUGGCAAGCGUUGUCCGGAUUUAUUGGGCGUAAAGCGAGCGCAGGCGGUUUUUUAAGUCUGAUGUGAAAGCCUUCGGCUCAACCGAAGAAGUGCAUCGGAAACUGGGAAACUUGAGUGCAGAAGAGGACAGUGGAACUCCAUGUGUAGCGGUGAAAUGCGUAGAUAUAUGGAAGAACACCAGUGGCGAAGGCGGCUGUCUGGUCUGUAACUGACGCUGAGGCUCGAAAGUAUGGGUAGCAAACAGGAUUAGAUACCCCGGUAGUCCAUACCGUAAACGAUGAAUGCUAAGUGUUGGAGGGUUUCCGCCCUUCAGUGCUGCAGCUAACGCAUUAAGCAUUCCGCCUGGGGAGUACGGCCGCAAGGCUGAAACUCAAAGGAAUUGACGGGGGCCCGCACAAGCGGUGGAGCAUGUGGUUUAAUUCGAAGCUACGCGAAGAACCUUACCAGGUCUUGACAUACUAUGCAAAUCUAAGAGAUUAGACGUUCCCUUCGGGGACAUGGAUACAGGUGGUGCAUGGUUGUCGUCAGCUCGUGUCGUGAGAUGUUGGGUUAAGUCCCGCAACGAGCGCAACCCUUAUUAUCAGUUGCCAGCAUUAAGUUGGGCACUCUGGUGAGACUGCCGGUGACAAACCGGAGGAAGGUGGGGAUGACGUCAAAUCAUCAUGCCCCCUAUGACCUGGGCUACACACGUGCUACAAUGGAUGGUACAACGAGUUGCGAACUCGCGAGAGUAAGCUAAUCUCUUAAAGCCAUUCUCAGUUCGGAUUGUAGGCUGCAACUCGCCUACAUGAAGUCGGAAUCGCUAGUAAUCGCGGAUCAGCAUGCCGCGGUGAAUACGUUCCCGGGCCUUGUACACACCGCCCGUCACACCAUGAGAGUUUGUAACACCCAAAGUCGGUGGGGUAACCUUUUAGGAACCAGCCGCCUAAGGUGGGACAG
rnacentral:rRNA from 2 species